AAACUAAAUUCGUUAAAGCCUCAUAUAAUCUCAGGGAUACGGCCUGAAAGUUUCUACCGAACGACCGUAAAUCGUUCGACUAUGAGGACAGAUAGCUGUGCA
rnacentral:ncRNA from 2 species